ACAGAGGGUGCAAGCGUUAAUCGGAGUUACUGGGCGUAAAGGGCGCGUAGGCUGGUCUUUACUUCCCUUUUUCCCUCCCUGGGCUUAACCUAGGAAUUGCAGUCGAUACUGAAUAUCUUGAGUAUGGUAGAGGAAAGUGGAAUUCUCGGUGUAGGGGUUAAAUACGUAGAUAUCGAGAAGAACACCGGUGGCGAAGGCGACUUUCUGGACCAAUACUGACGCUGAGGCGCGAAAGCGUGGGGAGCAAACAG
rnacentral:rRNA from 1 species